UACGAAGGGGGCUAGCGUUGCUCGGAAUCACUGGGCGUAAAGGGCGCGUAGGCGGACUUUAAGUCGGAGGUGAAAGCCCAGGGCUCAACCCUGGAAUUGCCUUCGAUACUGGGAGUCUUGAGUUCGGAAGAGGUUGGUGGAACUGCGAGUGUAGAGGUGAAAUUCGUAGAUAUUCGCAAGAACACCAGUGGCGAAGGCGGCCAACUGGUCCGAUACUGACGCUGAGGCGCGAAAGCGUGGGGAGCAAACAGG
rnacentral:rRNA from 1 species